rnacentral:rRNA from 1 species
GACGAACGCUGGCGGCGUGCCUAAUACAUGCAAGUAGAACGCCGUUGCGAACGCGUGAGUAACGCGUAGGUAACUGCCUCAUUGCGGGGGAUAACUUUUGGAAACGAUAGCUAAUACCCGCUACUGUGAGAUAGAUCUGCGUUGCAUUUGCUAGUUGGUGGGGUAAAGGCUCACCAAGGCGACGAUACAUAGUCGGCCUGAGAGGGUGAUCGGCCACACUGGGGCUGGGACACGGGCCAGACUCCUUCGGGAGGGAGCAAGAGGGAAACAUCGGCAAUGGGCGGAAGUCUGACCGAGGAACGGCGCGUGAGAGAAGAAAGUUUUCGGGUCGUAAAGGUAUGUUGUUAGAGAAGCGGUAACUAAACAGGAAGGGACGGCUAACUACGUGCCAGCAGCCGCGGUAAUAC